GUACACUCCUGCGGGAGGCAGCAGUGGGGAAUAUUGGACAAUGGGCGCAAGCCUGAUCCAGCCAUGCCGCGUGAGUGAUGAAGGCCCUAGGGUUGUAAAGCUCUUUUGUGCGGGAAGAUAAUGACGGUACCGCAAGAAUAAGCCCCGGCUAACUUCGUGCCAGCAGCCGCGGUAAUACGAAGGGGGCUAGCGUUGCUCGGAAUCACUGGGCGUAAAGGGUGCGUAGGCGGGUCUUUAAGUCAGGGGUGAAAUCCUGGAGCUCAACUCCAGAACUGCCUUUGAUACUGAAGAUCUUGAGUUCGGGAGAGGUGAGUGGAACUGCGAGUGUAGAGGUGAAAUUCGUAGAUAUUCGCAAGAACACCAGUGGCGAAGGCGGCUCACUGGCCCGAUACUGACGCUGAGGCACGAAAGCGUGGGGAGCAAACAGGAUUAGAUACCCGUGUAGUCCCAUGA
rnacentral:rRNA from 1 species